rnacentral:lncRNA from 1 species
UUAGCUAAGGAAAAGCAUAUAUCAUGUAGAACCUCACCAAUAAUCAGUACAUUGUAAUAAUCAGUUCAUCUCCUUGAUCAAUUGCAACUAGUGGUAGCUGCAGUGAUGUCAAUUCCUUAUAUAUAUAUAUAUAUAUAUAUGGUGAGCUCUCUCUGUGGAGACAAAAGUGAGAGGGGGGAAGAAAAUGGGAACCCCCUCUUUCUAGGGUUAUCCCUCUCACCUAUUGGAGAGAACUUUUUUAUAUACGUUACAGAUUGAUAAUUUGCGAUUUGUGAUAAUGUGUGAAUCUGUGAUAAUUUGAAAUUAGAAUGAAUUUGCUACUUGUUUUCCUUUGUAAUUAUGAAUCUUCAUGCUUUGUUGCUUAUAGUUGACAGGAGUGGCUUGUAGUUAUAGUUGAAGACAUUGCACGAGAAAAAGCAAGAAAACACAGCCCCACUGCACUUUGCAUGCCUGUCCCUCUUUGAUCACAUCGCACACUGUUUGUGUGUGGGAGAGGGAAAGAAAUUGCACAGGCAAAAAACAAGAUAAUAAAUGAAGAAAAGCAUAAUCAAACACUCUGGUGAAGUUACAAAAACAACCCAUGUAUUAUCAUAACUUUUUUUGAUUUUCUAAUUUUUGAAGAUCUGCACUGGUGGUCAUAAAGAUUGGUGUUUUCUUUUCUUUUCUUUUCUUUUCUUCAAGUGUUUGCAGAGAGAUUCUACUAUAAUGGAAUUUAGUCCAGUACCUUAUGUUUACUUCUGGGAUCUGAAUUUCAAUCUGAUAAGUACUUUUUUCUCUGUGGAUAUUUCAGUCAAUUGCUAAGUUUCUGUAGAUGGGCGAGUUUCAAAUCCAAAAUUAGACCUUUGUUUUCCUUAUCUUAAUUUCACAAUUCAUUAGGCAAAUAAUGUUACAAUUCAGGUCCUCCUAGCAUUCUUGCUUCUAUGGGUUUAACACUUUUAACUGGCCAUUGAUUACCAUUGAGUGGAACUUGAUCACUGACAUGUGAUGAAAUUUCAGGUACAGGCAGCUUACAAAUAAGCAUUGCUAAAGUCUCACCCAAAUCGAGCUCCGCAGUCGUGGUUGGAAAGCAUUCUUUUGUUUGUAAAAUAACUUAUUGGUGUUGGUCGAACUUAUAUCUGUUGGUUGAAGAAAUAGAAAGUAUUUGUUACAUUGGUUGGUACAUUUUAUUUAUAUAUGAUAAAUGUUUGUGUUAAUUUUUUCAUCUUUAAGCUUAGAAUAAUUAGUAAGUUUAAUGUUGUUUAUCAUGCUAGCUUGUACUAAAAAAUAUUUAAUUUUUAUCUUAG